GAGGGUAUAGCUUGGUGGUAAAGUGCAUGCCUAGCAUGCAUGAGGUCCUGGGUUCAAUUCCUAGUACCUCCA
rnacentral:tRNA from 1 species